GCGAACACAAAGCGUGGCGUUUAAUGGAGAGGUUUUAGGCGGUUUUAAACAGUAAACACGCCGAACUGACCAUAAAAGCUCGACUCUGUGGAAAAGCACCGAGUAUUUUGUGCACACGUGUGCUGUUGAUAGAUUGAAAUUGAACAGCGAGCUAGGGAACAUAACGAAGGAAAUAAUGUGGUAAUGUGUUCGUGAAAGGGUAACCCGUGUUAUGUUGCUGUUUAAACGUUAUGUUUGUCCUUUUUUAGCCGUUGUGAAGAUUAAUGCCCCACCCCUGUGUAUGACUCAAUACCAAUGGUGGUGUUACACAUCAAGUGUUUGUCAGGCUGACAUGCAGGUAGAUGUCUGAUAAAGAGAAACAUAUACCUCAUUGGAAAGAUGGGCUAAUAGAUGUUAAAUUGAUGUCAAAUUGAGACCUCGUUGAAAUGCAAAUAUAGCCUAUUAAUCAGAUUAUUUAUUAUGAUUUAUUUAAUAUACACUUUUAAACUCUUAAUCAGUGUAAACAUUCAAAAUGUGCAAAACAGAUUGACUGACAUGCUUUUUAAAAUAUAUAAAUUCUGUUUAUAGCAGCUGCUAAAUAUUUCUUAUAGACGCCAUGCUUUGUGUUGCAAUCCAUCUCUUGCGAACUUCAUCAGUAGUGCAUACUAUUGCGAAGAUCUGUACUAGAUGUCAUCAGACCCGAUGGCGACAUACAGAUGACCUACAGUAAGCAGGUUGCAGUGACAAACGCUGUAACCCGAGGCAGGGUGCACCAGGCAGUCGGCAGGAUGCCUCCACAAAGCUCAUGGUUUCAAGUUGAGUCAGAGGUUUCGUGUGUGGGUGGAAAGAGGUUUCCUGGGCUGUUCCACCAUCAGAGGCCUGAGUGGGAGACCAACCACUCCUUAAAAUGGAAACAUUUCUGCUGCACGAUGUCACACAUGCUGGAUUGAGACAUAUUGUCACCAUGGGAACAAGCGACGUCCUCACAAAGGCUCUGUCUCAUCUUGAUGGACACUAAUGGUGGUUUACCGACAUGGAAGCGCUGGUCCAAAGUGAUCAGGAAGUCAUGAAUAUCCUCCCUUCAGUUUCCUCCAGCUGAUGACAUCCUUUGGUUGAAAAGGGUACAUUUGUUUUCUUUACAUCUCUAUUCAUUCUGGCCCUUUUAAUUUGUCUUUAACACGUGCAGACACAAAUAGAGUCGACCACAGACAUGUCACUGAAUUAGCCUAGUUUAGGAAAAGGGACAGACCUGUAUAUCAAUGUCUAAGUGGAUUAGCUGUGUGAUUGAGUGGGUUACACUAUAAGCUCACAGAUGUCUCUCUGGAGACUGGCUCCACCACUUCCGCAACUAACUGACUAAUCUUGUUAGCAGCAAUGCUAUUAGCAUAACAAAACACUUAAAAGAGACCAUUUGAACUUCACUUUGCUUCUUUUUUAACUAUUUAGAUGUCAGUGAUACCAGUGAAAAGCUCAACUCAGGCACUGUUAAGACCUGGGGUUUAAAUGUGAUUUUAUCAAUCCAGUCACAAAUGCACAGACACUAAAUACAGAAGUAAGUGGUGGAAAUUUGACAGGAUAAAUGCUCAUUUGGAGGAGUGCAGAUGGUUGAACACCACAAAAACCAUCUCUCUGCCCAUUGACCUAAUUCUUAAACAUCACUGGACACGUUGUUGUGCACUAGCACAUGCAGGAAUGUCAGAUGUGAUCCUAACACACUCAAAAAAUAACAAUAAUUCUUGGUCAUUGUGUCAAAUAUGGACAAACAUAAGUGAUUUUUUUUUCAGAUUAUAUUGCAGUUUAUAUUACACAUUUUUACCCAGUGGUUGGGUUUAUUCACGUUUGACCCAACAUUGAGUUAAACAACCCAGAAUUCUUUAGAUUGCACAGUGUUUAGUGUAGUUCUGUGGUGACAAGAGCAGAAACGAAAGCUGCUGCUCCUCUCUUUGUUGUUAAAUUGGAUUGAAAGAUCAGACAAGGCAUGUAUAACCACCCAUAGACCCCUUCUGUCAAAGAUACCAUUAAAGUCAUUAAAAGUGUACAAAUUUCGAGGGGGGCUUACUGCCGAGUCACAUGGGUGACUCUGCAGUGAGUACCACUUGCAAAUUUCAACAGU